UAGAGUUUGAUCAUGGCUCAGAUUGGACGCUGGCGGCAGGCUUAACACAUGCAAGUCGAGCGGUAACAGGAAUAGCUUGCUAUUUGCUGACGAGCGGCGGACGGGUGAGUAAUGCUUGGGAAUAUGCCUUAUGGUGGGGGACAACAGUUGGAAACGACUGCUAAUACCGCAUAAUGUCUACGGACCAAAGGGGGGGAUCUUCGGACCUCUCGCCAUUUGAUUAGCCCAAGUGAGAUUAGCUAGUUGGUAAGGUAAUGGCUUACCAAGGCGACGAUCUCUAGCUGGUUUGAGAGGAUGAUCAGCCACACUGGGACUGAGACACGGCCCAGACUCCUACGGGAGGCAGCAGUGGGGAAUAUUGCACAAUGGGGGGAACCCUGAUGCAGCCAUGCCGCGUGUGUGAAGAAGGCCUUCGGGUUGUAAAGCACUUUCAGUUGUGAGGAAAGGUGUGUAGUUAAUAGCUGCGUACUGUGACGUUAACAACAGAAGAAGCACCGGCUAACUUCGUGCCAGCAGCCGCGGUAAUACGAGGGGUGCAAGCGUUAAUCGGAAUUACUGGGCGUAAAGCGUUCGUGGGCGGUUGAAUAAGCAAGAUGUGAAAGCCCAGGGCUCAACCUUGGAACUGCAUUUUGAACUGUUCGACUAGAGUACUGUAGAGGGGGGUAGAAUUUCA
rnacentral:rRNA from 1 species